ensembl:lncRNA
UGGGCUUCCCUAGUGGUUCAGAUGGUAAAGAAUCUGCCAGUAAAGAAUCUGCCUGCAAUGCAAGAGACCCGGGUUCAAUCCCUGGGUCAGUAUUUAAGACCAUUUAAAACAAACAACCUGACAACACUGAGAUGACAACCUGUCCCCCAAAGUGCAAAAUCAGCAACGAUGCUGGAGAGUCCAGAAAGCAGCCUGCUCUCGGAUGUGAAAUAUUGGCCAAAUUGUUGAGGCAGCUGAGCCCACAGCAAACGGCCUUGCUGUGAAAACAUCCUUGGCUGUUUGGUGGUAUCAGAGGGGACCAUGAGCCCAACCCCAGGUGACAGUGGGAAGGACUGAAGGAGCACCGCAUCAGAGGAGAAGGAAGAGAGUCAAGUGGAAGGAAAAACAGGAAGUGAAAGGGCUGCUGCCCUCCCUGAAUUAAAGGUUCACCAUCCUCCUGCUCUCAAGAGCAUCCAUAUGUUCUGUCACCCGCCCACAGAGGCGA